ensembl:lncRNA
AGUCACUCAAGAGACAUGCCCUUUGGUUGCACAAGCAUAAUGACUUGUGUUAAUUAUAGUAUAAAAAAAUGUGAGUUGUUGGGGAGAAGACAUUAACUUGACUCCUGAUCACACAGUCAGGUUCCAGCAUCUUGUUCUUGAAGAGACUGUCCCCAUGGCGACGAUGUUGACUGUCCUUAUCCUACUCAUCAUUGCCUUUGCAUGUGAGAGAGACACCUUCACACUACUAGAAUUUUUCUACGGCUGGCCAUGCUUUCCACCUGGCUACUCCUACCCCGGUCAACAGUACUGCACCCCCAACAGCAAUUCGCCCAAGCCUUCCCCAUUUCUCCUUCUCCCAAAUCCAUUCAGCUGAUGUUCUGAAAGAGCUGCAAAAUCUGGACCCCUACAAAUCAGCCGGGCUAGACAAUCUGGACCCUUUCUUUCUAAAAUUAUCUGCCGAAAUUGUUGCCACCCCUAUUACUAGCCUGUUCAACCCCUGUAAACAGGUCAAUGGAAUUCAACCAAAACAGUGAAAAUGCCAUGGAAACACCUCCCACGCAUCCCCCUGUGAGGGAUAGAUCUAGAAUCUCCUUAUUGCCACCCUUCAAAAUUAAGCUACAUUUUAAUAAUUUGCCUACAUUUACAGUGCAUUCAGAAAGUGUUCAGAGCCCAUUACUUUUUCCACAUUUUGAUAAGUUACUGCCUUAUUCUAAAAUGGAUAAAAUUGAUUUUUUUUUUUGCUCAAUAAACUACACACAAUACCCCAUAAUGUCAAAGCAAAAACUGUUUUUUAUAUAUUUUUUUUCUCCAAAUGUGUAUAUAUAUAUAAAAAAACUGAAAUAUCACAUUUACUUAAGCAUUCAAACCCUUUACUCUGUACUUUGUUGAAGGAUCUUUGGCAGUGAUUACAGCCUCGAAUCUUCUUGGGUAUGACACUACAAGCUUGGCACACCUGUAUUUGGGGAGUUUCUCCCAUUCUUCUCUGCAGAUCCUCUCAAGCUCUGUCAGGUUGGAUGGGGAGCAUUGCUGCACAGCUAUUUUCAGGUCUCUCCAGAGCUCUGUUAGAGUGACCAUCUGGUUCUUGGUCACCUCCCUGACCAAGGCCCUUCUCCCCCAAUUGCUCAGUUUGGCCGGGCGGCCAGCUCUAGGAAGAGUCUUGAUGGUUCCAAACGUAUUCCAUUUUAAGAAUGAUGGCCAUUGUGUUCUUGGGGACCUCCAAUGCUGCAGAAAUGUUUUGGUUCCCUUCUCCAGAUCUGUACCUCAACACAAUCCUGUCUCGGAGCCCUACAAACAAUUCCUUUGACCUCAUGGCUUGUUUUUUUCUCUGACAUGCACUGUCAACUGUGGGACCUUAUAUAGACAGUUUUGUGCCUUUCCAAAUCAUGUCAAAUCAAUUAAAUUUACCACAGGUGGACUCCAAUCAAGUUGUAGAAACAUCUCAAGGUUAAUCAAUGGAAACAGGAUGCACCUGAGCUCAAUUUCGAGUCUCAUAGCAAAGGGACUGAAUACUUAUGUAAAUAAGGUAAUUCUGUUUGUAUAUUUUAUACAUUUGCUGAAGUUUAUAAAACCCCUUUUUCACUUUGUCAUUAUGGGGUAUUGUGUGUAGAUUGCUGAGGAUUUGUAUUUAUUUCAUGGAUUUUAGAAUAAGGCUGUAACGUAACAAAAUGUGGAAAAAGUCAAGGGGUCUGAGUACUUUCCGAAGCCACUGUACAUGGUAUUUCACACUAUGUUUGGUUAAAAAUCGGAGUAUAAUGCUUGUAUAGAUGUCAACCCCGAAGCAUUUUCAUGUCAUCAUCACCAAUCAACUGUAUUACAAUUAAAAACGUCUUCACCUACAACCACCAAUUUAUAUAUGCUAGUUAUGUUACCAGCUUAUAUGAACAGGAAAAGGACACCUUCUAAAUAUUAUGCAGCUAAAACAGCCAAAUAUGUCCAAAUAGGAUUUUAGUAACCACCUUGUGGGCCUGUUCGAACAUAGAAAUGAGGGAUUUGAUGAAUAUCCACUUUUUUAAUAGAUUCUCUUUUUGACAGGGUGCCAAUGACAGUGUUUCUUUUAUCUCCAACGGUCUGCGUUCCAUUGACCUCUUUAACACAUGUAUGGGAAAUGUUGAGUCGAUUGUUUGGUGGUUCCCCAAAAAACAUUGCCAUGUUGAAUAAGAACACUCAGAAUGAUACAUUGCAACAGUCACUCUUUAGCUCACGCUUAUUACCAAAAUGUGUGUCUAGACCUGUCCUUUUCAGGUAACAGGACCCUGGAACCCUCAUCAUCUGGAACCGAGGAGCCGUCCUUCUCAGGUGACAGGACCCUGGAACCCUCAUCAUCUGGAACCGAGGAGCCGUCCUUCUCAGGUGACAGGACCCUGGAACCACCAUCAUCUGGAACCGAGGAGCCGUCCUUCUCAGGUGAUAGGACCCUGGAACCCCCAUCAUCUGGAACCGAGGAGCCAUCCUACUCUGGUGACAGGACCCUGGAACCUUCAUCAUCUGGAACCAAGGAGCCGUCCUUCUCAGGUGACAGGACCCUGGAACCACCAUCAUCUGGAACCGAGGAGCCGUCUUUCUCAGGUGACAGAACCCUGGAACCUCCAUCAUCUGGAACCGAGGAGCCAUCCUACUCGGGUGACAGGACCCUGGAACCCCCAUCAUCUGGAACCGAGGAGCCAUCCUACUCUUCUGACAGGACCCUGGAACCUUCAUCAUCUGGAACCAAGGAGCCGUCCUUCUCAGGUAACAGGACCCUGGAACCACCAUCAUCUGGAACAGAGGAGCCGUCUUUCUCAGGUGACAGGACCCUGGAACCCCCAUCAUCUGGAACCGUGGAGCCGUCCUUCUCAGGUGACAGGACCCUGGAACCACCAUCAUCUGGAACCAAGGAGCCGUCUUUCUCAGGUGAUAGGACCCUGGAACCCCCAUCAUCUGGAACCGAGGAGCCGUCCUUCUCAGGUAACAGGACCCUGGAACCCCCAUCAUCUGGAACCGAGGAGCCGUCUUUCUCAGGUGACAGGACCCUGGAACCCCCAUCAUCUGGAACCGUGGAGCCGUCUUUCUCAGGUGACAGGACCCUGGAACCCCCAUCAUCUGGAACCGUGGAGCCGUCUUUCUCAGGUGACAGGACCCUGGAACCCCCAUCAUCUGGAACAGAGGAGCCGUCCUCCGGAGUGUGAGAAGAUCAUGAACAGCAACGGGAGAGUUGAUAAUAUUGAUUACCAUGAUAUUGACCAGGGUAUAUUUUUUUACAUGGAUAUUGCAGUGUCAUUUCAGACACAGCCUGAGAGGGAAAAGUACAGCAAUUGUUUGUCAGAUUUAUUUAGCAUAAUUGUUAACUUUUCUGCUAUCCUGUCUAGUAACUUUCCAUAACUAUGUAGACAGUAAAGCCUUAUAUGCUGUAGUGUGUCUUUCACUGAAGCUUUCCUAUCCUCUGUGCUGACUGUCAUUAGCAGACCUGGGCUCAAACAUACUAUCUGAAAUCUUCCAAAUACUUUGAGUGUUUUAUCUAGCCUGUCUGAAGUGCUGGAUGGGCAGUGUUUGCAGUUUUGGGACAAUUGUAUUGGUCAAUUUUACCAUGCAGGCUCAUUCAAGCACAGAUUAAGUAUUUGGAAUGAUUUCAAAUAGUAUUUUAACCAGGUCUGGACAUAAGAAAAUAUUACAUAACAUAUACAUGUAAGAUCCUGUUUUUGUUAUUUUAUCCCCCUCUACUUUACACAGGGCAGGAGGCCUUCCAGGCUUCUGGUCUAUCAGAUGUCAAAGACCUCUGUAGUACCACUUCAUACAGAGUUUGACUCUUUCUAUCUUCUGUUUCAUCAUCUAAACCCUGUGUCCCAUCAUGUAGUUGUUUUGGAGGCAUUCUGUCAUGGAAUAAAUCUAUAUGAUCAAGAUCAUCUUGUCCUAGUUGCAAGGUCCCUCCUGGGAAGGUGGGUGGGGUCAUUUCUUUUUCUUUGCAAUUUUCUCUCUUUGCAAUUCUGUCACUAUUGUGAAAGUUGUUUUAGACUUAAAGCAUAUAGCCCAAUUGACAAGUACUUCAUGACUGUGCCACCAGUGGACGCUGCUAAGGGGAGGACGGCUCAUAAUAAUGGCUGGAAUGGAGUCAAUGGAACGCUAUCAAACGUGGUUUCCAUGUGGUUGAUACCAUUCCAAUGACUCCAUUCCAGGCAUUACUAUGAGCCGUCCUCCCCACAGCAGCCUCCACUGUGUGCCCACAUUGUAAUUGAUAUACAGUAUGUUUGCCAAGGUUAUACAGUGUAAGAUUAAGUAGUGUAUGGUUCCAACUUGUAUAGAUCACGGUAACAUAUAAUGUACUAACAAUAUCAAUAUUAUGUUUGCGUUUUCUCUAGGCAAUGUUAUUGUACUGUACUUCUUCAUAUUGCACUCGGUGAACCAGAACUGUGUGUGUGCGUGUGUAUGCAUAUGUAUUGCUUGAUUAGGACAAGCAAUACAAACGCAAAAGUGUUUACUUCUCUUGAGACGAGUAUGAUGAAGAGAGGAAAAAAAGAGUUGUCGAGUUGCAUAAACGCCCAGGCUUUGGGGAAGUGUUGCUACUAUUAAAUAAAGAAGAGAU